CGUUCUGCCAAUUCUUUUUCAGCAAAGAGACAAGGAAGUUAACACUCAGUUGUACAUUUUGGAAGAUUUGCUUUUCCUCCAUGCUAACAUUCCCCACAGCUACUCCCAUGCAGAGAACCUUCUUAAGCUGGAACUUGACCAUGGCCUUGGUCUCAUUAACCUUUGACUCGAGAGAUUCUUGGUGAGUCACAAGUGUAGGGAACUUCCCUGCAAAGUCAACCAAAUCAAUCAUAAAUCAGCUAAAGCAACAUUGAAAUUUAAAACCCAGAAAAUAACAAAACUUUAAAACAGAGCAUCUUACUAGAUGGAAAAGAAAGGAACAAUAUACCAUAUUCGAUAUGAUACAGAAAGCCACUUGAAAGAUUUUAUAAUGUUCGUACUUAAAAACAGAGCAUGUAAUAGCAGAAUGUGACCAACGAUUAACAAAAAAAAAACACAGCAAUGACCGAUGUAAGUUAUUAAAACAAGCAAAUCACCAAGUUCUCUCUAAAAUGUCCAAAAGAGAUUCAAAAUCCAAAACAAUAAAACAUGCCUGCCUUGUUGAGACCAGGUCCCAAGAGACGAGGAAUCUGCUUGAUGACUGCUUCAGAGGCUAAAAAGGCAUGAUAUUUUUUGGCUAGUUUUUUCACCAACUUUUUGUUUUUGUUAAGCUUCUUCAAGGCCUCAACAUCCAUGUAGUCCAAUCCUAUCUUCUCAGC
rnacentral:lncRNA from 1 species